CGUAGGUGGCAAGCGUUGUCCGGAGUUACUGGGUGUAAAGGGCGUGUAGGCGGGAAGAUAAGUCAGAUGUGAAAUUCCAUGGCUCAACUGUGGCGCUGCAUCUGAAACUAUUUUUCUUGAGUGAUGGAGAGGAAAGUGGAAUUCCUAGUGUAGCGGUGAAAUGCGUAGAUAUUAGGAGGAACACCAGUGGCGAAGGCGACUUUCUGGACAUUAACUGACGCUGAGGCGCGAAGGCGUGGGGAGCAAACAGGAUUAGAUACCCUGGUAGUCCACGCUGUAAACGAUGGAUACUAGGUGUAGGAGGUAUCGACCCCUCCUGUGCCGCAGUUAACACAAUAAGUAUCCCACCUGGGGAGUACGGCCGCAAGGUUG
rnacentral:rRNA from 1 species